rnacentral:misc_RNA from 1 species
CCCUCUGCUCCCCUAAAUUGGGAGGGCCACCGAGUGUCGGCCGGUGUGCCGGUUCACUUCGGGUCUAGCCAGCGAGGGGUGCACUGCGCAACAUCCCACCGCACGAACAACAUCAUGGCCGACCUCGCUGCCAGAGAUGUUGAGAGGGCUCAGUUCGCCUUCUCCAUCUACGACUUCGAAGGCAAGGAUGAGGUUGACGCCUACUACCUGGGCGACGUGCUGCGCGCGCUCAACCUCAACCCCACCCUGGCCAUGAUCGAGAAGCUGGGCGGACAAAAGAUCAAGAAGCAGAAGAAGCUGAAGCUGGACGAGUUCCUGCCCAUCUUCUCGCAGGUCAAGAAGGACAAGGACCAGGGUGGCUACGAAGACUUCAUGGAGUGCCUGAAGCUGUACGACAAGGCGGAGAACGGCACCAUGAUGGCGGCUGAGCUGUCGCACGUGCUGCUCUCUCUCGGUGAGCGGCUGACGGAGAAGGAGGUCAACGACAUCAUGGCCGAGUGCUGCGACGAAGAGGAUGAGGACGGCUUUAUUCCUUACGAGCCCUUUGUAAAACGGCUACUGGCCGGCCCCAACCCCGAGAAGAAGUAAGCGCGUCGGCGCAGUUCCUCCGCAGGUAAACGAACCAACAUCUCGACCCAUCUUUCACUGGGAGGUGGCCUCCCGGCCGCCGAGUCACCUGGCGGCCUCGCUCAGCAGCUGUGUGCAGUCUGCGCGUGGUGAGCGCGGCGCCGGCCACCUUCACUUCCAGGGAAUUUUUUUUUAUAAGCUCCGCCAGCUCGAACCCAUACAUAUGUAUAUUUCACUCGUGAUGUGUGCGUGUGAAUAUUGGCGCGUGUCGCGCGCCGCUGUGCGUGUGCGUGUGGCGUGCCGCGUCCGGAGCCCUCUCGCCAGGGCGGACUGAGUGCGAUCUAGUCAGCUCCCGCUGCAGAGAGCGCCCCGACGUAAGUCGGUGUUGACGCUCUGGCGCGGGAGUGCGCGCGCCCGCUCCGCUGCCUGGUGCCGACCGGCCGGCGUGGCGGAGCGCUCGUCUGUCCGUCUGUCCGUGGUCGUCUGUCCGUGGUCCGUGUCCGUCCGUUGUCCGUUGUGCCCGAGUCCUUUCCGUUAACUUGACAUCACAGAAGAGUCAGCAUCAUCAGUCAGUACCAUCCGGCAAAUCUGUUUUAUCAAGUUUCGGAACAAUAUGUAAAUAAAUUUGUAAAUUAUA